AUUGAACGCUGGCGGCAGGCCUAACACAUGCAAGUCGAGCGGAGCGGCGGACGGGUGAGUAAUGCCUAGGAAUCUGCCUGGUAGUGGGGGAUAACGUCAGGAAACGGGAGCUAAUACUGCAUACUAGAAGAUGAGCCUAGGUCGGAUUAGCUAGGUGGGGGGGUAAAGGCCUACCAAGGCGACGAUCCGUAACUCGUCUGAGAGGAUGAUCAGUCACAAUGGAACUGAUACAACGUCCAGACUCCUACGGGAGGCAGCAGUUGGGAAUCUUCCGAAAUGGACGAAAGGCUGACGGAGCAAAGCCGCGGGAGUGAUGACGGCCUUCGGGUUGUAAAGCUCUGUUUAUCGGGACGCGGUACCCGAAUAGAAAGCCACGGCUAACUACGUGCCAGCAGCCGCGGUAAUUC
rnacentral:rRNA from 1 species